ensembl:lncRNA
AAAUCACGUGAUUUCAGUGAAACCUCAUUGGAAAUUUCAGUGGUUCGCCGCUAGGGAUGUUGUCUGUCAUCCAUAAGUAUAUCAGAAGUCAACACCAGUCCGCUUCGAGGUCGAUAGCCUAGUGAGCAGCGCGCCGACAUGGCAUGCCGAUACUCUUCGAGCAUCCGGAGUUCGAGUCCCAGCUCGCGAACUCCCACUUCGCUACAAAUAUUCUCGGUCAUCUCCCACUUCGCUUUAAGACCGAUGUCAUGAUGUUCGGGUAUCCCUGUGAGCGCCUCCGACGUCCGUGGUUCAAAAUGAAAAACAGCAGUGUACAGCACCGGGUCGACGGCAUCCCUGCGAGACAAAAGUGUGCUUCGGAAAUCUUGAUUCCGAGGAUGCCUUCAAAACCGAAAGCCUCGUAGCUUCGUCGGUUUGUGCGCUUCGGAUAUCCUGAGUUCGGGUACGAGUCCCUCUUCGCUUAAUAACAGCAAUUUCAAAUUGCCGAAAAUUUGGCAUCAUGUCUUCAUAUAAGUAUCUGUUGCAAGUGUUUCACCUCAUUGUGACGGGCCGGAUCUCUGGAUUUCUGGACUGGAAUACAAGUGCGAAUCCGGACAAGACUGUGUUUGUAGCUGUUGAGAGUACUGGUCCCUCAUCCAAUUCAACAAGCCACGAGGAAGAUGUCUCUCUCAACUGCAGCAUUACGAAUGAAGAAUUCACCGUUCCUUGCAUGAGCUCCUCUGAUGUGGAAGCUUGCAUUGAAAUGUUAAAAUCACAUCCAGGUCCACUGUUGUUCAGAAAUGGAGAGCUCUAUAGACAGUCUGAUAUCAAAAACUGGAAUGAAUUCCGGUUAAGAAGAGAGCCAGUGUGCUUGAUCAAACUAAAACGAGAAAACAGAAUCAGGUCCUGUUAUGGAGUCUACCUGGGGAAUGAUUACACCUUGACCGCCUGUCAUACAUUUGAGUAUGCUUGUCUAUAUGACGCAUAUGUUUUCUUCCCCACCACAGACUUUGUUCUGAUUUAUGAGGCAGAACUUCCCAAAGAACAGCACAUGUUUCAUGACAAAGAUCAGUGCCUUGUUAAAUUAAUCGGGCAAACAGAUGUUUUGGGAAAAGGUUUACUUGACCGCAUUUGUGCACCCAGUAAGAACAAGGAUUUAUAUUUCUACACAUUUAAUAACCAGGGUGAUCUUCAAAUGCACACAUGCAAAGAUAUCACUCAUUCCUCUGCCAUGAAUGAGAAAAACCAAAGAAAUGAGUUUCUGAUGUCCACGGCAGGUCAGCCAGGUGAAAGUGGCAAUCCUGUUUUCAGUUUGAGAUCCAAAAAAUGUGUGGGAAUAUACAAAGGUAUCACAAACUCACAGAAAGGAUGUGCAUCAAAAAUAGAUUACAAACAGUUGAUAGAAAAUACAACAUCAGGAAGAACAGAUCUGCACUGUUUGAACAGGCUCUACAGCAUCUUGUCCACUUUUAAGACUAGAUUUUUCUUUUUGCUGACCCCAAACAAUCAAACCUCUGCUGAUGAUUCAGAUUGAAGUGGUGGUGUAUCUGGUCUCAAAUCUUAAAGGGAGUCCACAUCAUAUCCUCUCUUUAGGCUCAUUUAAAAAUGUGCCAGACCCAUCACCGGUGAUCCCUGUGAGAUGUGUGCUGGUUAGAAAUGUGUCUGAGUGCGCUCCGACUUGUUCCAUUCUCUUUAUUGAAUAGAUGAUUGUUGUCAUAAAAAAAUGAAAAAAUAAAAAUGGAUGGAAAACACA